rnacentral:rRNA from 1 species
GACGGAAGGUGCAAGCGUUGUUCGGAUUCAUUGGGCGUAAAGGGUGCGUAGGCGGCGCGGUAAGUCGGGUGUGAAAUCUCGGAGCUUAACUCCGAAACUGCAUUCGAUACUGCCGUGCUUGAGGACUGGAGAGGAGACUGGAAUUUACGGUGUAGCGGUGAAAUGCGUAGAUAUCGUAAGGAAGACCAGUGGCGAAGGCGGGUCUCUGGACAGUUCCUGACGCUGAGGCACGAAGGCCAGGGGAGCAAACGGG